CCUACGGGUGGCAGCAGUGAGGCAUAUUGGUCAAUGGGCUCGAGCCUGAACCAGCCAAGUAGCGUGAAGGCUGACUGCCCUACGGGUUUUAAACUUCUUUUAUAAAGGAAUAAAGUGAGGCACGUGUGCCUUUUUGUAUGUACUUUAUGAAUAAGGAUAGGCUAACUCCGUGCCAGCAGCCGCGGUAAUACGGAGGAUCCGCUCGUUAUCCGGAUUUAUUGGGUUUAAAGGGAGCGUAGAUGGGUGGUUAAGUCAGUUGUUAAAGUUUGCGGCUCAACCGUAAAAUUGCAAUUGAAACUGGCAGCCUUGAGUACAGUUGAGGUAGGCGGAAUUCGUGGUGUAGCGGUGAAAUGCUUAGAUAUCACGAAGAACUCCGAUUGCGAAGGCAGCCUACUAAACUGCCACUGACAUUGAUGCUCGAAAGUGUGGGUAUCAAACAGGAUUAGAUACCCUUGUAGUC
rnacentral:rRNA from 1 species